UACGAAGGGGACUAGCGUUGCCCGGAAUCACUGGGCGUAAAGCGCACGUAGGCGGCCGAUCAAGUCAGAGGUGAAAGCCUGGAGCUUAACUCCAGAACUGCCUUUGAUACUGUUUGGCUAGAGUUCGGAAGAGGUUGGUGGAACUGCAAGUGUAGAGGUGAAAUUCGUAGAUAUUUGCAAGAACACCAGUGGCGAAGGCGGCCAACUGGUCCGAUACUGACGCUGAGGUGCGAAAGCGUGGGGAUCAAACAGG
rnacentral:rRNA from 1 species